GACGAACGCUGGCGGCGUGCUUAACACAUGCAAGUCGAACGGAAAGGCCCUGCUUUUGUGUGGUGCUCGAGUGGCAAACGUGUGAGUAACAUGUGAAUAACCUUCCUUUUACUUUGGGAUAACUUCAGAAAGCUGGUGCUACUACCUAAUACCUGCUCCUGCUGCAUGGUGAGGGUUGGAACGUUUCGUCGGUUGUGGAUGUACUGGCGGCUUAUUAGCUUGUUGGUGGGGUAGUGGCUUACCCAGGCUUUGGAGGGUAGCCGGCCUGAGAGGGUGAACAGCGACAUUAGGACUGAGAGACGGCGCAGAGUCCUACGGGAGACAGCAGUGGGGAAUAUUGCACAGUGGGGGGAAGCGUGAUGAAGAAACGCUCCGUGCGGGAUGAAGGCCAUGGGGUGGUAAACCGCAGUAACCUGUGACGAAGCGUGAGUGACGGUAAUGGGUAAAGAAGCACCGGCUAACUACGUG
rnacentral:rRNA from 1 species